rnacentral:tRNA from 1 species
GGGGAUUUUCCAGAGUGGACAAAUGGAGCAGACUGUAAAUCUGUUGCCUUAUGGCUUCAUAGGUUCGAAUCCUAUAGUCCCCACCA